UACGAAGGGGGCUAGCGUUGCUCGGAAUCACUGGGCGUAAAGGGUGCGUAGGCGGGUCUUUAAGUCAGGGGUGAAAUCCUGGAGCUCAACUCCAGAACUGCCUUUGAUACUGAGGAUCUUGAGUUCGGGAGAGGUGAGUGGAACUGCGAGUGUAGAGGUGAAAUUCGUAGAUAUUCGCAAAGAACACCAGUGGCGAAGGCGGCUCACUGGCCCGAUACUGACGCUGAGGCACGAAAAGCGUGGGGGAGCAAACAGG
rnacentral:rRNA from 1 species